UUGAGACUCGGCGACCCGAUCACGUGACCCGACCGGAGUGACGCCGUCCGGCCACCGAUCGACGACGCACGACCACCGAUGUCUUCCUCUCGUCAUCGCCGUCACGUCUGCGGUCUCGGACCGCCCAUGCACUCGGCGAGGAGGGAGAAUCGACGGUGAGAAGACUUGACUGCUCCGGUGAAUUUCUGCGAUUUCCGGCCUCCGUCUGGACCGCAUUCGGUAUGGAAAUUCCUCUUCUCGUCUUCCUCUAUCCGUCUGUGCAAUUAGUUUUUGAUUGGGAUUAAGUUUUGAUGGUUUCGCUCAAGUUUUAAUGAUGGGUGGUUUUGGGUGUUUUACGGGUUCUGUCGAAACCACCGUGCACGGCGGCUUUUUCUGGGCUCCUUGGUUUAAUUUCGACGUUGAUGAUGAACCUACAGCAGGAACUCGGGCUUGGUCAAUCUAAAUUUCAUCUAUUGAGAAGUGAGAUGCAAACCCGAGCGUGAUCGAAGAGUAGCAAGACUAUUAACCUGGAAACUAGAAUGCUUCCUGCAUGGAGUUUGUGUUCGCAGCAACUCAGACUUAAUCACCAUGAUUCAUGCAAUUGAGGACUCCAGUUACCCGAGGAACGGAAGGUUCGCAACUCUCGGAGUACGUGAGAGAAAGCGUCGGAAUCCAGUAUGGAUGCAGGUACUGUGCACUGGUGACGGGACAAUGGCGGACGGAGCUGGGUGUGCAGAACAAGUUGGUAAACCCCCUUCUGGGCUUUAUCCUGAUUACUAUUUCUCGAACUUUGUGUCCUGAAACUUGUGUGAAACUAUUCUUGGGUCAAACCUAGCUAAAUUCUUAUUCCUUAAA